rnacentral:rRNA from 1 species
CCUACGGGAGGCAGCAGUGAGGAAUAUUGGUCAAUGGACGCAAGUCUGAACCAGCCAUGCAGCGUGAAGGAAGAAGGCUCUAUGAGUUGUAAACUGCUUUUGUACGAGGGUAAACGCAGACACGCGUAUCUGUUUGAAAGUAUUGUAUGAAUAAGGAUCGGCUAACUCCGUGCCAGCAGCCGCGGUAAUACGGAGGAUUCAAGCGUUAUCCGGAUUUAUUGGGUUUAAAGGGUGCGUAGGCGGGUGGUUAAGUUAGAGGUGAAAGCCUGAGGCUCAACUUCGGAAUUGCAUCUGAUACUGUUCGGCUAGAGAGUAGUUGAGGUAGGCGGAAUGUGUGGUGUAGCGGUGAAAUGCUUAGAGAUCAUACAGAACACCGAUUGCGAAGGCAGCUUACCAAGCUACUUCUGACGUUGAGGCACGAAAGCGUGGGGAGCAAACAGGAUUAGAUACCCUUGUAGUC